rnacentral:rRNA from 1 species
UACAGAGGUCUCAAGCGUUGUUCGGAUUCAUUGGGCGUAAAGGGUGCGUAGGUGGCUGUGUAAGUCUAACGUGAAAUCUCGGGGCUCAACCUCGAAAUUGCGUCGGAUACUGCAUGGCUAGAGGAUUGUAGAGGAGAGUGGAAUUCAUGGUGUAGCAGUGAAAUGCGUAGAUAUCAUGAGGAAGACCAGUUGCGAAGGCGACUCUCUGGGCAACUCCUGACACUGAGGCACGAAGGCUAGGGGAGCAAACGGG